rnacentral:rRNA from 1 species
UAGAGUUUGAUCCAUGGCUCAGGAUGAACGCUGGCGGCGUGCUUAACACAUGCAAGUCGAACGAUGAAGCUCCAGCUUGCUGGAGUGAAUUAGUGGCGAACGGGUGAGUAACACGUGAGUAACCUACCCUUGACUCUGGGAUAAGCCUUGGAAACGAGGUCUAAUACCGGAUAGGAGCACUCAUCGCAUGGUGGGUGUUGGAAAGAAUUUCGGUCUUGGAUGGACUCGCGGCCUAUCAGCUUGUUGGUGAGGUAAUGGCUCACCAAGGCGACGACGGGUAGCCGGCCUGAGAGGGUGACCGGCCACACUGGGACUGAGACACGGCCCAGACUCCUACGGGAGGCAGCAGUGGGGAAUAUUGCACAAUGGGCGCAAGCCUGAUGCAGCGACGCCGCGUGAGGGAUGACGGCCUUCGGGUUGUAAACCUCUUUCAGUAGGGAAGAAGCGAAAGUGACGGUA